rnacentral:rRNA from 1 species
UACGGGGGGAGCAAGCGUUGUUCGGAUUUACUGGGCGUAAAGGGCGCGUAGGCGGUCGUUUAAGUCGAAUGUGAAAGCCCCCGGCUCAACUGGGGAGGGUCAUUCGAUACUGAUCGACUUGAAGGCAGGAGAGGGAAGUGGAAUUCCGGGUGUAGUGGUGAAAUGCGUAGAUAUCCGGAGGAACACCGGUGGCGAAGGCGGGACUCUGGGCCGAUACUGACGCUGAGGACCGCAAGCGUGGGGAGCGAACAGG